GCCCCCGUAGCUCAGAGGAUAGAGCACUGGCCUCCGGAGUCAGGUGCGGGAGUUCGAGUCUCCCCGGGGGUACCA
rnacentral:tRNA from 1 species